GCACACUGAAGUGUGGAGAGGUUACUCUCUGCCCCGAGAUGCUACGGGGUGUGGCAGUGCUCAGACACAAACUUAGCAGGCUGGCUCGGGGCCCUGUGCUGUAACUGUCAUGCCAGGCUGUCACCCUGAAAUGAGUCACACAUGCCACCUGUGUGCUCUGCCUGUGCUGACCACGGGGUGCUCCAGUUAACUGGGCUUUAUCAUUGCUCCUUCUCCUCCGUCUCCAGCAGCCUCAUGCUUGUGCAGGUGAAGAAAUAGAUGUUGAGAAGAUAUUUGGUAACAUGCUGAAAGCCACACAGCUAGCAGCAGCAGAACGGGGAUUUGGACCCCUGUCUAUUUGGCUGUAAAGUUCAUUUUCUCUCCGAUAUACCAGGGACAGGAUCUCUCUCUCAUCCUGACUGGAGUACAGUGAUGACAUCCCAGCUCACCGCAGCUUCGACUUUCCAGGCUCAGGUGAUCCUCCCACCUCAGUCUCCUGGGAGACUACAGGCUCUUGAUCCAUUCCUAUGGUGGGUGACAUAAUGGCCCUUCCGAAGAUGUCCGUGUCCUAAUUCCUGGAGCCUGUGAAUACACUGGCUGCAUGGCAAGGGUGGAGAUUAAGGUUGCAGAUGGAAUGAAGGUUCCAGCUCACCUUAAAAUAGAGAUUAUCUUGGGUUAUCCGAGUGGACCCAGUGUAAUCACAAGGUUUCUUUAAAUGUGAAGGAGAGAGGCAGGAGAAGAUCUACCCUGCUGGCUUUGAAGUUGGAAGGGUGCCACAAGCCACAAGUGAAGGAAUGUGGGCAGCCUCUAGAAGCUGAAAAAGGCAAGAAAGUGGAUUCUUUCUUAAAACACCCAGAAGGGAACACUGCUCUGCAGGCACCUUGAUUUCAGCCUUGUGAGACCCAUUUUGGACAUCUGACCCCCAGAACUGUAAGAUAAUAAAUCUGUGUUGUUUGAAGCCAUC
rnacentral:lncRNA from 10 species